GGGCCUCUAGCUCAGCUGGUUAGAGCGUGCCCCUGAUAAGGGCAAGGUCCCAGGUUCGAGUCCUGGGAGGCCCA
rfam:Aquifex aeolicus VF5, complete genome.